rnacentral:rRNA from 1 species
GAUGAACGCUGGCGGCGUGCCUAAUACAUGCAAGUCGAGCGAACAGAUGAGGAGCUUGCUCCUCUGACGUUAGCGGCGGACGGGUGAGUAACACGUGGAUAACCUACCUAUAAGACUGGGAUAACUUCGGGAAACCGGAGCUAAUACCGGAUAAUAUAUUGAACCGCAUGGUUCAAUAGUGAAAGACGGUUUUGCUGUCACUUAUAGAUGGAUCCGCGCCGCAUUAGCUAGUUGGUAAGGUAACGGCUUACCAAGGCAACGAUGCGUAGCCGACCUGAGAGGGUGAUCGGCCACACUGGAACUGAAACACGGUCCAGACUCCUACGGGAGGCAGCAGUAGGGAAUCUUCCGCAAUGGGCGAAAGCCUGACGGAGCAACGCCGCGUGAGUGAUGAAGGUCUUCGGAUCGUAAAACUCUGUUAUUAGGGAAGGACAAAUGUGUAAGUAACUAUGCACGUCUUGACGGUACCUAAUCAGAAAGCCACGGCUAACUACGUG